UACGUAGGGGGCAAGCGUUAUCCGGAUUUACUGGGUGUAAAGGGAGCGUAGGUGGUUUCUUAAGUCAGAGGUGAAAGGCUACGGCUCAACCGUAGUAAGCCUUUGAAACUGGUAGACUUGAGUGCAGGAGAGGAGAGUGGAAUUCCAUGUGUAGCGGUGAAAUGCGUAGAUAUAUGGAGGAACACCGGUGGCGAAAGCGGCUCUCUGGCCUGUAACUGACACUGAGGCUCGAAAGCGUGGGGAGCAAACAGG
rnacentral:rRNA from 1 species